GAUGAACGCUGGCGGCAUGCCUAACACAUGCAAGUCGAUCGGUAAGGCUCUUCGGAGUACACGAGAGGCGGACGGCUGAGUAACGCGUAGGAACACACCCUGCAGGGAGGGAUAAGACACCGAAAGGUGUUCUAAUACCGCAUACGGUCUUCGGAUUAAAGCAUUUAUGCGCUGAAGGAGUGGCCUGCGUCAUAUUAGAUAGUUGGUGAGGUAAUGGCUCACCAAGUCGAUGAUGUGUAGCUGGUCUGAGAGGAUGAUCAGCCAGACUGGAACUGAGACACGGUCCAGACUCCUACGGGAGGCAGCAGUGAGGAAUAUUUCACAAUGAGCGAAAGCUUGAUGGAGCAAUGCCGCGUGCAGGAUGAAGGCCCUCGGGUUGUAAACUGCUUUUAUAAGAGAAGAUUAUGACGGUAACUUAUGAAUAAGGGACGGCUAACUACGUG
rnacentral:rRNA from 1 species